rnacentral:lncRNA from 1 species
GCUAUGACAACUGUCAAACCAAGAACCAGAAGGGCUGAAUCCGAUGACAUGAUCAGCAUGACAACUUCAAAUCACCAUGGGGAAAUAUUAAAACCAGCCUGAUCUCACAAAGAAACAUGACACACACCAGCUUCUGAUCAGUCUCACAGAACAGUUUGAGCUUCUCGUCGUGUUCAGAACACAUCAGCAUCUUCUCCAUAUCUGCAAGCUUCAAUGUUUGCGUUCCUUCUUGAGGUGUGGAUCUGUCUGAUUUCUGCUCUGCAAGGUGCCCACGUACUGUCGAGGUCAUGUUUCUCAGUAAACGGCUGGAUUUCAGGUCUUUUUCGUUGUAAGGUUUUUGGCAUUCUGGACAGGCACUUGGUCCCAGGCUGGCCUGCAUAUGGCCAGUAAUGCAUUGACGACAAAACGAAUGCUCACAAGAGAGAGUCACCGGAUCCGUAAAAUCACUCAGACACACGGAGCACUUGAUCUCCAAAGACAAAGGGGAAUGCAUUUUAGCUUUCCUUCUGGUCAAGACCGUGUUUUGAGCUUUGAACUGAAUGUUUUCUCUCUUUAAAAUCAGCUCCUUUCUGUCAAAUUCUGCUUUCUCUUCCUUGUUUUUGAACAGAAUAUCAAAUGUAUUUAAAUUUGAGUUGCAUAACAAGGUGUUGUUCCUCCCACAGGUUGUAUAACAAGGGAAGUAAUCAAACUGGAAUGUCAAACCUUAUACCUUUGUUUACAGAAUACAUAUUGUGUACUGUGCUGGUGCAAAUACUUUUCAAUCAAAGCAUGUGUUGAGCAGAUAGACAGGUCCAUUGUUAAAUCUGUCAAUAGUGCUUUCCAUAUAACCUUUAACGGAUGAACAAAUACUUUACUUUUAUUUUACCCCACAAAAGAACUGUUUAAAGAGAUAGUUCACCCAAAACUGAAAAUCCUUUACUUACACUUCACUUGUCAUGAACUUGUUUGAUUUUCUUUCCUCUGUUGAACACAAAAGAACAUAGUUUGAAGAAAGCUGGAAACCUGUAGCCAUUUGUUUGUUCCAUUAAUGUCAAUGGUUACAUUAUUGCAGCUUCAAAAUAUCUUCUUUUAGGUUCAGCAGAAAAAAACUCUUAAAAAUUUGAGACCAUUUGAGAGCAAAUAAAGACUAAAUAAGUUUUACAUUUUUAGUGAUCUGUACCUUUAAGACAACAUUAUAGUUGUAAAUACCAAUUAAAUACAAUCUCAAAUUACAUUUGGCCUUUUAAUGCAUAAAUACACAAAUUAAAAUCAAACCAAAUACCAAAACAAUACAUAAGUUAUUCCAAAAAUAUAUUUUUAAUGUGUCUAAAAGUUAUCACUGUGCCUAACUCAGAGCUUAUGUUUCCAAUAAAAAUAGCUUAGUAACAAUAGUGACUUAUAUUAAUUGUAAUAGUAACAAUAGUUUGUGUUUCCAUCCAAAAAUGGCAAUUUAAAUUUAUGCGCAAAACUGAAAUUUCACAUAAAACAUUUGUGAAUAA